rnacentral:rRNA from 1 species
UUCGCAGGCGGUGCGGCAAGUCGGGAGUGAAAUCUAUGGGCUUAACCCAUAGGCUGCUUCCGAAACUGCUGUGCUCGAGUGUGGGAGAGGCGCGUGGAAUUGCAGGUGUAGCGGUGAAAUGCGUAGAUAUCUGCAGGAACACCCGUGGCGAAAGCGGCGCGCUGGACCACUACUGACGCUGAGGAACGAAAGCUAGGGGAGCAAACAGGAUUAGAUACCCUGGUAGUCCUAGCCCUAAACGAUCAGGACUUGGGGUGCCGCACGUUCGUGCGUCGUCCCGGAGCUAACGCGUUAAGUCCUGCACCUGGGGAGUACGGUCGCAAGACUGAA